rnacentral:tRNA from 1 species
GCCAAUGUGGUGCAGUGGUUUGAAUGUUGGACUAUGGCUCAGGAGACCAGGGUUCAAUUCCCUGCUUAGGCA